GCCGGGCAUGGUGGCACAUGACUGUAAUCCCAGCAACUUGGGAGGCAAGGCAGGAGGAUCUCAAGUUCAAAGCCAGCCUCAGCAAUGGCAUGGAGCUUAGCAACUCAGUGGGACCCUGUCUCU
rnacentral:sRNA from 1 species